GUGAAUGCCAAAUAAUUAUACGUUGUUGCACUACUGAUCAAGUAGCUGAUCUGGUAACAAAAGCAUUAUCUUUAACACUAUUCAUCAAGUUUAGACACAAAAAAAGUAUGGAUCAAAAUUCCCUUCUAAGUUUGAGAGUGGAAAUAAAGGUCAUAGCAGUUAAUUAGUUAGUUAUAUGAUUUGUUAUUAUAUAGCUAGUUAAGUGAUGAUGUUGAGCUAUUAGAAAGUUGAAUCAGUCAACAAGGAUAGAUUGAGAUGUGUAUAUAAGCAUGUGUUAAUAAUCUAUAUCGUGUCAAUGAUAAUAAUUAUAACCCUGAAAUAUGAGAAUUACUUCCUCUUCAAGAAACUCUUCUUUACAUGGUUCUACCCUAAUUUUGCUAAUCUAUUGCGCAUACUACAAUUUCUUCUUCUUGUUAAAUUCAAGAUUCAAGGUUUAACUUGAAUCUUUACACCUCAAGCACUACAAGAGAAACGGGCAAUUGUAGUGAAAAAUUACCAGCGUUUCUUGGGAACGGCCACAAGUUCAUUGAGUAGCUGCGGUUCUUGAUGCCUUAUUUGUUUCCGUCAAGGACUGCUCAAAAUAAGGGCGGUUCUGUGUAUCAACUGUCGCAGAUAACAUAUUUGAGAUUUAUUUCAUAGUCGAAAUUGGGUGAAGUAAGAGCCAUUAAUCUUCGUUUUCAGGCAAACUAAAAGGGGCACAAAGGCGCCAAUCAUCAGUUUCAAGAUCUUUGCCGCCGUAUACCUUUCGUUCAUCAGCUGCAGCCACUACAUCCUUCCUCGUCACGGAUCUGCUCAAGCUCCCGCAUAGCUCCCGCGCGCGAAAGAAAGAUGGAGAGACACGUCUGUUGUUCGUUCUUCCGCUGUGAACGUCCUGGUGUCGUCGUGUGGUUUCCCAACCGUCCUGUGCCAUCCUCUACAUUGCAACCUCCUACUUUGUCCAUGGGACAAGGAGUAUCCAAUCCUGAGCAAAUUCCUGUUAUGACUCCUGCUAGAUUCUUAAGUGGGCUAGCUAUAGGGAGCCUUAGUUGCUUCAUCUACUUUCUCAAACCAGACAAUAGCUCAACCUGCAAGAUCUUUGACUGCCACUUCAGUGCCAUCCUCUACAGUGCAACCUCCUACUUUGUCCAUGGGACAGUGAGUUCAUGUUUAUCUUUUCUUUCUCUCUAAGUUUCAGUGCAAUAUAAAAUUCUUUUUUUGAAUCAUCUUGUAUAAUUCUCUAUUUCUUAUACUUUUGGUUUUUAGAAGAGUAUCCAAUCUUGAGCAAAUUCCUGUUAUGACUCCUGCUAGGGAGCUAUUAAGGGGCCAUUGAUAACUAUAGUCAUGAUUGCUCUAAAGGAUUUGUAUGCUGAAUUUGUUCUUGAAGAACCUAAAGGAAAGGUUAUGCUGGCAAGCCAUUUACAUUUGCUUUGUAUGUGUUGGUAGCUGUAGUUCUACAUUUAAUUGAUUAAGUAUUUUUUAUUUAUAAACAAAAAAAUAUGGCUCUUGAAAAGUUUUUACAAUUAGAAUCCACACCCUUUUCAAAUAA